UUGGAGGCUGCCGCUGCUCUUCCGGAAAUUUAACUCUGCUUGAGUCGUCUCUGCUGUAAUCCUCACUGCUCGCUGCAAUCAUGUCUUAGUGUUUUCCCUAGCUUGUGGUUAGUACGGGCAACCGCAGAAGCUUUCAGAGUUGCUGAUGCUUCUGCCAAGGUUUUCUUUCUUCUGAUGGCAAACAAUGAGGAGAUUCUUCCAUUUUGCACACAGAUUCUCCAGUUACAGGCUCAGUGAUGGUACAUACGUGUUCAAAUUAGAGGGUUUUAUACUUAAACUAUGGCAAUUGGCUCAAGAAGUGGGCGAAGAUGAACGAGCUCUGCAUCU